GAAGGUGAGUGAGUGCUGGGUCAGAGUGGACAAGGAAGAGUCCCAGCUGGCUCCAGCGAGCCUCCCUCCCCCUUCCCUGUCAGGGGCGCCUCCAGGUACAGAGAAAGCCAGACUAACCACUACUAGUCUGGGCGAGCUGUCAGCCAUCUGGGUCAAAUGAUGAACUGUGAGAUGAACAAGACUUGGAACCAAGUUCUUUCUUCAAGGUGUCCAGAAGAUCCCACCUCAGCCCUGCAGGGCAAUGUGUGGAUACCGGAGGAGUGAACACUAGAUUGAGAAACCGAGGCACAGCAUUGUGCAACUCUUCUGUGCCACUUGGAUUGGAAGCUGAAUCCAGAGAGAGGGGCAGAGAUGGCUUUCAACACUGGGACAGGCAAGAGAGACGACAAGAUGAAGCUUAGAUGCCUCUGAGGUUCUAGGCACCAGCAUGAUGUUCAGGGUCGCUUGGGAAGUGUGGAUCUGGCUCUCGGGGCCCAUCACGGGGGCCUUGAAACAGUCACAUAGUACUUAGAGCAUGAAGCAGCUACCAUAAAAUAUCUUUUCA
rnacentral:lncRNA from 1 species